GGUUCAAAGUCUUUUAUAGAAAACCGGUUUGGAGGCAGGGGGACCCAGGCUCUGUACUUGUUUGAAUUGCUGUGACUCUCCAAAGCGAGAGGUCAUACAUAAUGAGAGAUUGACCCAGACCCAGGCUGAAAGAUUUACAGCCCUGGGAGUGGAGAAAGAGAUUUGCAGGAAGCCAUAUGAAAAUGGGAUUGGAGACACGUAGAUUUCGCACCUCUGCCACUGACUGCGCCAAGCUUCAGAACGCCAACCCAGCCCUGGCCCGCGGGGCGGAGAUGCUGGGCGGGCCGGGCACACUUCGCAGUAACGCGAGUCGGGUUACGGCGGAAGGGCGGCCGGGCGGAGGGAAGGAGGAGGCCGCGCGCAGCGUCCUCUAGGACUAAGACCAGGCGUUCCAGGAGGUGGCCUCGAGUGGAGCCUCAGCAGAUCCUCAGCACCAGAGAAGACUACCGCAGACCCGAAGCCCUCGGAGCUUCCAGGGAGCGCGGGAGCGCGGGGGCGGUCCCACGAGGCUGCAAGAAAGGCGGGAUCCAGGCCGCGCGUCCACUCGAGUGCAGUCGGCGUCUCUUGACCAUCCCGCCCUCCCACCCCCCGCGGCCCCUGCAGAGCCGAUCCGGAAACAGCCGAGCGGAUCCGGAAACAGCCGAGCGGACCCGGAAGCGGGAGUGCCAUCACCAGUGAGUGCGGGAAUCCGCCGUUUGGGCUGAGACGAUGGCAGCUGCGCCAGCAACCCUAGCGCUGGAUCCCCAGCCCCAAGAGAAGCAAAAGGAUGCAUCCGAGUCAAGUGAGCUCAGUCGGCUUCGUGCCGAACUGGCCGGUGCCCUGGCAGAAAUGGAAACCAUGAAGGCUGUAGCUGAGGUGAGCGAGAGCACCAAGGCGGAGGCAGUGGCUGCAGUGCAGAGACAGUGCCAAGAGGAGGUGGCCUCCCUGCAGGCCAUCCUGAAAGACUCCAUCAGCAGCUACGAGACCCAGAUCGCAGCCCUGAAACAGGAGCGGCAGCAGCAACAGCAGGACUUUGAGGAGAAGGAUCGAGAGCUGGGCCACCUCAAACAGCUGCUGGCCCGGGCCCACCCUUUGGACUCCUUGGAGAAGCAAAUGGAAAAGGCUCAUGAAGACUCGGAAAAGCUUCGAGAGAUCGUGUUGCCCAUGGAGCAGGAGAUUACCGAGCUGAAGGGGAAGCUGCAGAGGGCGGAAGAGCUGAUCCAAGAGAUCCAGAGACGACCACGGCAGCCUGCCUCCCUGCAUGGCUCCACAGAGUUGCUCCCUCUGUCGAGGAACCCCUCACCCCCACUGGAACCCUUGGAGGAGCCGAGCGGAGACGCCGGCCCAGCCGCCGAGGCCUUUGCCCACAACUGCGAUGACAGUGCCUCCAUCUCUUCCUUCUCCCUCGGUGGGGCCGCCGGCAGUGCCUCCCUACGAGGCCCCCAAGGCCUCAGCCCUGAGCAGGAAGAGACUGCUUCUCUGGUGUCUACUGGCACUCUGGUCCCUGAGGGCAUCUUCCUGCCCCCUCCUGGGUACCAGCUUGUUCCAGAUAGCCAGUGGGAGCAACUGCAGGUAGAGGGGCGGCAGCUGCAGAAGGAGCUGGAAAGUGUCAGCCGGGAGCGGGAUGAGCUGCAGGAAGGACUAAGACGGAGCAAUGAAGACUGUGCCAAGCAGAUGCAGGUGCUCCUGGCCCAGGUCCAGAACUCAGAGCAGCUGCUCCGAACUCUGCAAGGAACUGUGAGCCAGGCCCAAGAGCGCGUGCAGCUGCAGAUGGCAGAACUGGCCACUUCUCACAAGUGCCUGAGCCAAGAGGUUAAAAGACUGAAUGAAGAAAAUCAAGGGCUCCGGGCUGAGCAGCUGCCAUCCUCUGCCCUUCAGGGCUCAGAGCAGCGGGAGGACCAGGACGAGGCCCUGCCAAGCUCCAUACAGGAGCUACAUCUGCUGGUGCAGAAUACCAGGCAACAGGCGCGGGCCAGGCAGCAGGCACAGGAGCAUGAGGCUGAGCGCCUGCGCAUUGAAAUUGUGAAGCUGCGGGAGGCACUGGACGAGGAGACAGCAGCCAAGGCCAGUCUGGAGAGACAGCUGAGGGUGCAGCGAGAAGAGACAGACGUGCUGGAGGGCCCAGCUCACGGAUCUCCUCUCAGAGCAGAGAGCCAAGACACUCCGGCUGCAGGCUGAGCUGGAGACCAGUGAACAGGUGCAGAGGGACUUUGUACGGCUGUCCCAGGCCCUACAGGUACGCCUGGAGCGGAUCCGCCAAGCAGAGACUCUGCAGCAAGUGCGUAGCAUCCUGGAUGAGGCGCCCCUCAGGGACAUCAGGGACAUUAAAGACUCUUGAGGGGCCAGGCGAGAGGCUUCCCUGCUGGGGAAGCUGCCCCUUUCUCUACAAGAACUAUGAGGCAUGGACUGCAGGUCUCAGAACUGGAGUCCCAUCAGCUGCAAACCUGGAUGGUGGUGUCCCUAGGGCCACUACUUCCACCCAGGGUGGCUGGGCCUGCCCUCAGGGAUGAUACCUGGAAAAGGGUCCCAGCCUCCUUCCAGAACCAAAGUGCAGGCUGAGCCAGGUGGCUUUCGGGCUACCAUGCUCCCUCAUGGAUCCAGCUCUCCCACCCUGUCACCUCAGGCCAGUAGCCAGUCCCAGUCUCUGGCACGCCCAGCUUGUGGCUAGAAGCUGGUGGAUUCAGUGGGCUCCUCGCACAGAGGCCCUGGGACAUACAACUGCUUUCUGGACUGUACGACACUAAGGUAUUUGUCCGUAGGCACCUGAAACAGGCCCCAAGAUAUAAGGAAGCAAGGCCAGACUUUUCUGUCAUUUAUUUUCAAUAAAUAAGCAAUCAGCUA